rnacentral:rRNA from 1 species
AUGGAGUUCGAGACGAUGAGCAGCGCAUUCGCGGGGCUCAAGACCCACACUAGCGACGACGACGGCGCAGCAAGGCCGGCCGGCGGAACUCGCGGGGCCGCGACCGGGAAGGAGCCCAUCUGCAGCAAGGCCGGGGCAAACGCACGGCGGCGGGAGCGCCAACUUUUUCGCGAUUCGAUCAAGGCAGGGCGCCGCCCCCCACGUCGAGGCGACGAGGAAGAGGAGGGCGCGAUCCCCGUCUACCGCCGUGCCUGGGAGACCUCCUUCGGCGGCGUCUUCGGCUCCUUCGACGACGAAACUGCCCUUGGUCCCAUGCGCUACACAUCUGGACCUAUCCCGGAAAAUGCUGUUCCAGCUAGCACCUUGCAGAUCUUCUCUGUCAGAGUUACUGACCUGAAAGGUCUCUGGUGGCCACUUCAUGUCUAUGGCUUGGUUGCCACCAGAGAUGAGGCAGAUCAUAAUCGCAACUUUCUUUUCAGGCGCACGAGGGAUAACUGCCAAAUCCUUACCAAAGAGGAUCCAGUUUUGCUGUUAACAGGCCCGUCUCGCGCAGUCCUGUUGGCUGGUCUGGUCACCUUCGAAGUACAGCUGAUGGUAAAGAGCAAAACUGAACUUGCAGAUAAAGUGCUGGCUUCCAAAGUCUUCUAUUUCCACCAGGGAUCUCGCCGAGAAGACAGUAUCUGUACACGCAUCCCCUACAAGCAUUGUGCGCUCGAGUUUGCGCUCGCGCCUCUGCGGCAUUCGGUCGAGGCCACCGUCAGCGUCCAGCUCGUCGACGGGUCGUGGCCGGACGGUCACCAGGGACUGGUCUUCUCCUGCACCGACAGCAUAAAAGAUACCAAGAUGGUGCUGCUUGACUGUCGAGAUGGGAACAUGCCCAUCGGUUCGGACGGCAUGUUUGAGCUCUCCAGGUGCGUUGUUUGCGCAGAGCUGGGCGGGAGGGAUAAGCUCAUGGUGUCCGUGCAGGCGCGGCGCGUCGGUUUCCUUAUGAGAAAUGCGGCCGUCUUCGAGCCCAAGAUGUCCGGGACGAGCGUUGGCAUGUGUGAUCUUCGUUUCUGCAAGAUGCAGGUGACCGUUGCCUGGUCCCUGCUCUCCACCUCUGGCACACAUGCAGAUGCAGGUGGUAAGUAG